GCAGCUUUAUCUAACAUUUUAGAG
rnacentral:snRNA from 1 species